AGCAUCUAAUGCUUUUAGCUUGCAGUGAAACGCAUCUAAGAAGAUGAAUAAAAUCAAGUGAGCCACAGAGAUGGCAUUGUCCAAGAGCACAGGCAUUUCAUCCAGAGGCAGUGAGUGAACUUUGUGUCCUGAAGCCAGAAUCAGUUGGGAAGAAUGGAAUCAAUUCUACCCCAUAAAAGGCUUACACAGGUCCCCUUCCAGAUGCUGAUGUCUUGGCUUCUGGUGCAAAACUAAGUCAGAUUAAUCCCAAGCCUUUGCUGCCACACAUACUUGAGGGCAUGUCAAAAGUAGAGUUGUACCUCUUGGCAGUCCACUUUCAUACCAAUGUCCCCCUAUAGCUGCAGGUGUUCCUGAUGUUAAUUUCCCCCCAAUACCUGUGCUUGGUUUUCAGUUUGGCUGUAAUUUUAAAAUAGUCUAGAUGGACGAGUG